UACGUAGGGACCAAGCGUUGUUCGGAUUUACUGGGCGUAAAGCGCGUGUAGGCGGCAAUACAAGUCGGAUGUGAAAUCCCGCGGCUUAACCGUGGAAGUGCACCCGAAACUGUAUCGCUAGAGUCCCGGAGAGGAUGGUGGAAUACUUGGUGUAGAGGUGAAAUUCGUAGAUAUUAGGAAGAACACCGGUGGCGAAGGCGGCCCACUGGAUCGGUACUGACGCUGAGGUGCGAAAGCGUGGGGAGCAAACAGG
rnacentral:rRNA from 1 species